rnacentral:rRNA from 1 species
AACGAACGCUGGCGGCAGGCCUAACACAUGCAAGUCGAACGCUCGUAGCAAUACGAGAGUGGCAGACGGGUGAGUAACACGUGGGAACCUUCCCUAUGGUUCGGAAUAGCUCAGGGAAACUUGGGGUAAUACCGGAUAAGCCCUUCGGGGGAAAGGAUUUAUCGCCAUUGGAUGGGCCCGCGUCGGAUUAGCUAGUUGGUGAGGUAACGGCGUCACCAAGGCAACGAUCCGUAGCUGGUCUGAGAGGAUGAUCAGCCACACUGGGACUGAGACACGGCCCAGACUCCUACGGGAGGCAGCAGUGGGGAAUAUUGGACAAUGGGCGCAAGCCUGAUCCAGCCAUGCCGCGUGAGUGACGAAGGUCUUCG